AACGAACGCUGGCGGCAUGCCUAACACAUGCAAGUCGAACGAGACCUUCGGGUCUAGUGGCGCACGGGUGCGUAACGCGUGGGAACCUGCCCUUAGGUUCGGAAUAACUCCCCGAAAGGGGUGCUAAUACCGGAUAAUGUCUUCGGACCAAAGAUUUAUGGCCUUUGGAUGGGCCCGCGUUGGAUUAGCUAGUUGGUAGGGUAAAAGCCUAUCAAGGCGACGAUCCAUAGCUGGUCUGAGAGGAUGAUCAGCCACACUGGGACUGAGACACGGCCCAGACUCCUACGGGAGGCAGGAGAGGGGAAUAUUGGACAAUGGGCGAAAGCCUGAUCCAGCAAUGCCGCGUGAGUGAUGAAGGGCUUAGGGUUGUAAAGCUCUUUUACCCGGGAUGAUAAUGACAGUACCGGGAGAAUAAGCUCCGGCUAACUCCGUG
rnacentral:rRNA from 1 species